rnacentral:rRNA from 1 species
AGUGAACGCUGGCGGUAGGCCUAACACAUGCAAGUCGAACGGCAGCACAGUAAGAGCUUGCUCUUACGGGUGGCGAGUGGCGGACGGGUGAGGAAUACAUCGGAAUCUACUUUUUCGUGGGGGAUAACGUAGGGAAACUUACGCUAAUACCGCAUACGACCUACGGGUGAAAGCAGGGGAUCUCCGGACCUUGCGCGAUUGAAUGAGCCGAUGUCGGAUUAGCUAGUUGGCGGGGUAAAGGCCCACCAAGGCGACGAUCCGUAGCUGGUCUGAGAGGAUGAUCAGCCACACUGGAACUGAGACACGGUCCAGGCUCCUACGGGAGGCAGCAGUGGGGAAUAUUGGACAAUGGGCGCAAGCCUGAUCCAGCCAUACCGCGUGGGUGAAGAAGGCCUUCGGGUUGUAAAGCCCUUUUGUUGGGAAAGAAAAGCAGCAGGUUAAUACCCCGCUGUUCUGACGGUACCCAAAGAAUAAGCACCGGCUAACUUCGUG